AAUUGUGUCUAUUUUCGUAUACUCAGCUGAGAGAGGAAAUCGUGCUUCCUGAUGGAAAUCUGCUGAGGAGGUGUGCUUAUUGUCUGUUAUUUUGUUCUUAAGAUCAUGCUUUCGGUAGGCAUAGACAUCAGUUGCAUCUUCCUUGAACCGUUGCAUAGUUUCUGGUCUCCACCCCUGUUUUUUAGCCAUACCCAGGACCAGGAUCCGAUAAGAGACCUUCUAGCGAAAGAACAACAUCACAGAGCCACAGAUUGGCGUACACAAGAGGAGCCACUGAGGAUCAAACAACAUCCAUUCUUUGAAGGUGUUCAUUCAGCAUUUAUAUGGUAAUCAAGCCUACCAGAAACCCCGAGACCCAUUGCAAUUGCAGGUCUUCAUGGCUAAUGCUCUUGUGAUUGCACCAAAAGUUAAAGUAUAUCAUGCCAACUAUAAUGGCUUGAGAAUGCUAUUCGCCCUGUGUUCUUUGAAGAACUUGUGCAAAAUCUGUUCUGUACUGCAAAAGCUUCAACUUCUUUGCUUUUGGUAUGCAUAUUAAUGACCAAAUUCGUCAUGUUUUCAUUGAAACUUUAAAUUUCCUUUUUCCUGUAUCAUGA